ACUACAGCUCCCAGAACACCACGCGCCCGCAGCCCCUCGAGUCUAAGGGAGGACCGUGCGCUGCACGCCGGGAGUCCGAGUCUUCCGGCUCGGGGCGUACGACGGCGCACCUUUUUAGUCUCGCCGAGGUCAAAGGGCGAGGUGGCAUGCUGGAAAACGUAGUCUCCUUGGAAUGUGUUCUGUAGAGGCGGGAGAACAGGAAGAGAAAUAACUAUUACAAAGAGAGGGAUUCGUUGUAUUGCUCCGUGGUAGAGGCCUGGGUUUAACUCCCAGUCCCCAAAGCACAUGAUCACAUUGGAUUCUCAUAAGCAGUUUAUGACGGAUAAUGCUGUCCCUGCUUUGGAGCCAGGUUUUCAUGUAGCCUAGGCUGGCCUUGAACUCCCUAUGUAGCAGAAGCUGGCCUCGAAUUCUUGAUCCUGCCUCUGCUUCUGGAGUAUUGGAAGUACAGGUCUGUGCCAGCCUGUCCCGCCUGCUCUUCCUAUUUUUAUGGCCAGCCAAACCCAAGGCAGCUGAUUCCAGCCCAGAGAGUCCAUGAGAAGAGGCUAAUGAAUAAAGAAGGAAAUGAUCAAGAGACUAACGUCCCUUAAAGGUCUUUGAGAGGAAGAGAAUAAUCUGGAUUAUCCAGUUGGACAUGGUGUAAUUACAAGAAGGAGGAUCGGAAUGCAAGAUGCUCCUCCUGGCUUUGAAAAUGAAGAAAGGCCACGCCAAGAAAUGCUGACUUUAAGAAUCCAGAAAAAGCGCUGAUGGGAUGGCUCAGUAGGCAAAGCUGGUUUCCUGCUCCAUCUUCAGACCAGUGAGCUGUCCUCUCUCAGACUCUGGCUAAGCCCACAUCGCAGAAUCUCCCUGGGGAAAGUCACUCCUAGCUGCCCUGUGGUGAGAAGAGAGGCACCUGUGUUCUGUUAAAGUGUGUUGUUCAUCCCACAGAUGUUGAUUGAAGAAUUCCUGGGCAGUUCCAGGCAUAGUAGAUAUGUCUAUCAGCAAGUCUUUGCCUUUGUUAGAAUGGGAUUGAUGGAGGCGACGUGGAAAUCACAGCCAACCUCUGUUGUGGGAUAUUUGUACACUGUGUGAAGAUGUGUUGCUGUGAUUGGUGUAAUAAAGAGCUGAACGGCCAAUAGCUAGGCAGGAGGUAGAGGUAGGAAUUCUGGGCAGAGAGAGAGAGGAAGUAGAUAAAUCUAGAUGCACAUCAGAAGCCAAGGAGACAUUGGAGGGAGUUGGAUAUACAGAAUGAAAGAAAGGUAAAAAGCCACGAGGCAAAAUGUAGAUUAAUAUAAAUGGGUUAAUUUAAGUUAUAAGAGCUAGUGGGAUAAGCCUAAGCUAAGGCCAAGCUUUCAUCGUUAAUAAGUCUCUGUGUCAUUAUUUGGGAGCUGGAUGGCAGGACAGAGAAAGACUCAUUAUAAACCUCUACUCAGAAUUGUUCUUUAGUCAGAGUGACUGACAGUAAACUCGUCUCUGCAGUAGUGGGGGCUUGGGGAUUUAGGUGGAAAAUUCCAUCUGCAGGUCAGUGUGAGAGUCAAAAUUACAUUUGUUGUUUAAGUUUUUUUUUUCUUUUCUUUUCUUUUUUUCUGGAGCUGAGGACCCAACCCAGGGCCUUGUGCUUGCUAGACAAGCUCUCUACCACUGAACUAA